GGGACGGUGUCCAAUUCCCUUUUUUCGGAAUUCAAGAAUCGAUUCCGAUUCCGAUUUUUUCGGAAUUUUCGGAAAAUCGGAAUUUUUCAGAAUUUUCAGACUUUUUUGAGAAAAAAAAAUAGUCCUUCACUCCCACCGACACAGUAGCAGAAGAUUACGGGCGGGCGCUGGUGGUGGUCGUGGAGAGCACGGGCGGCGCUGGUGGUGGUCGUCGAUCGGAGAAUACGGGCGGCGCUGGUGGUGGUCGUCGGAGAACACGGGCGCCGGUGGUGGAAAAAAAGAGAAAGCAGAGUUGGGGGAGGCUGAAGAAAGACGAGGAGAGAGAUAGGGGGCCAAUUAGGGUUUCAAAUAAUUAUAAUACUUUUCACUUUUG
rnacentral:lncRNA from 1 species